CUUGUCAUUUAGCAGUUUGAUAAUAAUCUUGUUGCGUUCAGUCAGUUCGCCAAUAAACAAUAUGAUGGUGGAUAUAUACAAAAGCAAUCCUGAACUAUUGUCGUAGCUAUGCAUUACGGGUUAGUGUUUCCAUGUAAUUAUAUAGGAAACCUGUUUGGGUGCACUAUCUGCAGGUGAGGUUUACUGAUGAGAUAAACGUAAUUACUUCUUGUGAAAGUGAGAUAUUGUUACAGUGGAAAUAUUGCAUAGUUCUUACAAUGCAUGAUUGUCCCUUCCAUUCUAUAUAAACAGCUUAUGAGUUAGUGCUGGCAGAUGUGGUACUGGAGGAGGGGGAUGCGGACAGAUAAUUGUUCUGAAUCCUGACACAUAUUUCACAUUAGAUGUACCUUCGAGACAUCCGCAGCUUAUAAACACAGGGUUGCAGAGCCCAUUUGUGCAGUCACCCAUAGCAGAUUGGCUGGUAGACUUGAAGUUAUUUCAAGUAUGGAACAAGAUAACAAACCUAUUUUUUUUUUUAUCACAUGAAAUAAUUCUAUAACAAUUCAGAAAAUAAAGGACACUCCAGAAGAGUUCGCUGUAGCAAUAAUAAAAGAGCUUGAAGGGACACUACUGUUACCAAAAUAACUUUAGCUUAAAGGAACACUCCACGCACCAUAACAACUUCAUUGAAAUGAUGAAUCCUGCUCUGUAAAUUGAACUUUAUGACCAGUGCCACCAUAGUAAACCUUGUGUUUUGUUUCCAUUGGUUGGAUCAAGUACAGUGUGUUUAUCAAAGACCAAAAUGUGGGUGCUGGUCAAGUGUUGUCUGAUCUAUUUUAUUUUCCCGGGCACAUCAAUCAUACAUAUUGCUGGGCAACACAUGGAAAGACCUGCCCUGCAAAUAGCAGAACCUUAAAGGGAAACUCAACUUCCCAAAUUCAAAGUGAAAACUUGCACGCAUUUAAAUAUGAAAUUUUUCAUUCGAGUUAUAUCUAAAAACAGUUCGAAAAAACUGCAGAUCUCUUUUCUGCUGAGUUUUGCAAGCCCUUGUCUUCUAAUCCAGCCCAGACGUUCGACGGCUGUCCAAUCACAGACUUCCCAAUACAGCUCAAUGGGAAGUCUUUGCAAGGCGGGUGCUCUGGGCAAUUGGCUGCCUCUUGAGUUCAGUGCAACUAAGCUAAUCAAACCAGGAAGUAACAGGACCAGUUGUCUGCUUGAAAAGCCAGUGGGUGUAACCAGUAUAAUUUAUAAAAGUGUCAAUUUUUAUUGAAAUCUGCACUUUUUCCAAAAUGGAAAAAAUAGGACACACUCUUCACACAUAAAGCUUUUCAGAAAUCUAAAGUGCUUUAGGGGUCUGGAGGGGUCCCUUUAAUGCUGUAUGCAAGAUAUAUAUUUAUUGUGCUGAAUGCUGCAGUGUAUGAAUGCAAUAUUAUGAAGGGCAUCCAUCACCAUGAAGAGGGGAUACAUGUUCAGUUUAACAUGAUGGAUCUAGACACGCUGUAGCUGACUCAUGAUUUCAGAGUCGCUGUGGUAAUGCAUAAAAAAAUAAAUCAAUAUUUGAACUUGCAUUUGUAGAUUUGUUUUUGAAGUGUUGUAGAAAAGAAUAUUUUUUUUCUAGGCUAUUAGCCUAUCAAAAUUAACGCUGUAUAUGUAAAUGUAAUUCAUAGAGGAGAAAUGUAUUUGUUGUCACAUGCGCCAUCAAUCAGGAUGGGUAAACCGGAAUGUGUUUUGGGCAUUAAUUCACCAAGUAUGUGUCAGACAACUGUAUGUGCGCACCAGACUUAUGUUGUACAUCGUCACUGCUAUUGUUUGCACUUUAAACCAUCCACACAGAGGCAGGGAAUCCGACAGAUACAUCUGAGCACGGAAACCUUACCAAGACCAGGAGGCCUCCUUGUCCGACUGCUUUAUUUAGGCUUUUAUUUUUUAUUUUAAAAUACUUGCUUUUCCGGUGUCUUUAUUUCUCUCUCGCGAGUGAAACGUCUGCAUGAGUGUUUUAAUAUGUCGUAAGUUGAUAUGCUCCAUGCUUCUCUGAUGUUUUUACCUGUAGCUUCUGUUAGCCUAUAUAUUGAAUUUCAAACACUGAUACAGAUAAAUUUAGGUAACCUGAGAAUCUUCCUUUUAUUAAGGUCAGUUCUGUUUGUAUGUGUGUACACUGAUAAAUAUCAUGAAAGUUUUAUAUAUAAUAUUAUAUUUAUAUAAUAAGCCCAAUAAAUGGCUUUUAGAUUCACUAUGUUUACAGUUGAAUAGUCUAUCAUUGUUUUAUGGAAGAAUAAGCUAUUAUAUAUCAUGUGGGUAUGUUUCUGUAUGUUAUUUAUUAUAGUGUUGCGGUCAAUCGUAACAUCGUUAAAACAUUGUCAGUUGCCAUACUGCUACAGGGAGCAACGUCACAAACUUUGGGCUUUUUGACCGUGUUCUGGUUCCGUUCAGUUUUUUACAUAAUCUCUUCUAUGGAAAUCGGAGUGUUAUGACUCUUUGUGUAACUCAGAACUGGGCUUCCAAAAAUAUUGUUUUGAUCUUAUUGAACAUAAUUAUCACCUAAUGUCCCCAGUUAUAUCUCACCAUAGUACAAGCUGAGUCCCCUAAAUUGUACGGUAUAGGAGUUAUGAUAGACACGUGAUCUCUCCCUUCCUGUCAUAAUGACCUCUGCCUAUGUAGUAUUUAUUAUUUAAUGCACACAAAGAGUCUGAAUUAUUCAUUUUUACUUGCUUUUCAAACAUCAGUUCCUCUAGAUGGGGAAUAGGGAAAGUUUAGUGUCAUGGUGCAUCAUGGGGGACGUAGUCCACAGCAGCUAGAUUGGCAAAUGUUGCCUAUUUCUGAGUCUAGAUAUCCCAUGUGCAGGAGGAAAUUGUAUCCCUUUGUAGCUGGAUUGCAGUACAUGUUAAAUUAUAUCUAAUAUUUUCAGUUGAUUUAUUUGUUUAAUUAUCCUGGCUAUUACCCUAGAUUGUGUGUGUGCAGUGUUUAAUAGGUGUACAUAAUGUGCUAAAGUAGCUAUAAUUAUAGAGAGAAGUAAUUACAUAAUACAUAGAAUAUAUUGUGAGCCUCGACUGUAGGAAUUUAAAAAAUUCAAAUCACUAUUUUUAUUACCAUGAUAUUUUAAAAUAAAGACUGUUUAGAAAAAAAGCACUGUAUUUAUUGGUGUGAAGUUCUGGCGACCGCACUGAUAGCCUGCUAACAUAGGUAUUUUUGGUAGAUAUUGCAUUCAGCCCUGUUUGCUAGGCUCUGAGUUUGAAUGUAUAGCUACAAUCAGGUGGUUUUUUUUGGGCUCAACUUGGGCCGAUCUAUUUGAACUACAAAUUGGAGAUGUCAUAUUUCAUCAAUAUUGUGUUUCUAAGAAAUUCAAUGCUGACGACCUCUGUAGCUGAAGUCACCAUGACACCAUAUGUAAUCCUUGCUGCAUCGGAUCCUUCUUUGGACCUGCUUUGUUCUGUUGCACUCAACUCUAAAAAUAGAGUUAGCGUUGGGUUUUACGGGAUCAUACCUGCCCAAGGUUAUAGCCAAAUUGUGGAGUCUUUCUGAAUUGUAUCCUUGGUCUCCUGAGUGGGCAUUUACGAUGGUAAUUUUGUGAUUUUAUAUUGAGAUUAUCACUUAAAGGCUGUACUCAAGGCAACUUUGGGGUUUAGUUAGGUCCAGUGGGAAAAUUUCUAAAAAUGCCACUAGCUGAAAAGUGGGCCAAGGUUCUAAAAGAGAAGCCAUCUCCGUGGAAACCAACAGAAUCAUCAGAAGAAUUUCCAUUGGUUUCUAUGGAGAUUUCUCCAAUUUUAGAACUUCGCCUACUUUUCUGUUUCUUAAAUAUUCCCCAUGGGGAUUCAUUCCAAAUCAUGUCAUGUUGAUACCAAAGGGAUAUUGCUUAAAUAUAUGAUAUAAAAUACGUGCAUAUGACAUGCUAAGUUCUUUCCUAUCAGCCAGCUGUAAGAGGUCGUACCAUUAACCCAUUACUGACCAGUAGAAAGUGUGAUGUUCUAUGUUAGUCAUGUUAAAAUGUUUGUUUCUCACGUCAAAAAAAUAAAUAAAAAUAUUUUAAUAAAUCCGUUAA